CCUACGGGAGACAGCAGUGAGGAAUAUUGGUCAAUGGGCGCGAGCCUGAACCAGCCAAGUAGCGUGAAGGAUGACUGCCCUACGGGUUGUAAACUUCUUUUAUAAAGGAAUAAAGUGAGGCACGUGUGCCUUUUUGUAUGUACUUUAUGAAUAAGGAUCGGCUAACUCCGUGCCAGCAGCCGCGGUAAUACGGAGGAUCCGAGCGUUAUCCGGAUUUAUUGGGUUUAAAGGGAGCGUAGAUGGGUUGUUAAGUCAGGUGUGAAAGUUUGCGGGUCAACCGUAAAAUUGCAAGUGAUACUGGCAGUCUUGAGGACAGUUGAGGGAGGCGGAAUUCGGGGGGU
rnacentral:rRNA from 1 species